rfam:Brachypodium distachyon strain Bd21 chromosome 1, whole genome shotgun sequence.
UUCACCCUUCGGGGACAUCCGAUAAAAUUGGAACGAUACAGAGAAGAUUAGCAUGGCCCCGCGCAUUUCUGAGAUGUGAUUAAUGUAAGAUUGCAAUGGUACAU